rnacentral:rRNA from 1 species
AACGAACGCUGGCGGCGCGCCUAACACAUGCAAGUCGCACGUGAAAGAGGGCAACCUUGAGUAAAGUGGCGCACGGGUGAGUAACGCGUAGGUAAUCUCCCUCUGUAACUGGAAUAACCAGCCGAAAGGUUGGCUAAUACUGGAUAGCGCGCAUAACUCUUAAGGAGUUGUGCGGGAAAGGGUGGCGUAGCAAUACGCUAUUGUACGGAGAUGAGCCUGCGUCCCAUCAGCUAGUUGGUAAGGUAAUGGCUUACCAAGGCUAUGACGGGUAACUGGUCUGAGAGGACGAUCAGCCACACUGGAACUGAAACACGGUCCAG